CUUUCCCCAAGGGUUCCGCAUUAGCCUAACCAAGACUUUCUCUGAGACUCUUAGUUAUUAUGAUGCUACUUCCACCAGCACCAGGGUUCUUGUUGCUAUCUGGCUGUUGAGUGAUUCAGUCCCACUGAGCAAUGUCAACCUGAUUGUCUUUCUUUGUUUUUAAGAAACAGGGUCUUGCUCUGCUGCCCAGGCUGGAGCACAGUAGUGUGAUCAUAGCUCACUACAGCCUUCAACUCCUGGGCCUUAGCAAUCCUCCUGCCUCAGCCUCCCAAGGAGCUAUGGCUGCAGGUAUCCGCCACCACUCAUUGACAGCCACUUCCAGUACUCACUGUCUUGGACACAGACUUGAGUAAAAGUACAGGGGCAAGAGGCCUGGAUGAAGAAAUACCCUCAGAAACUCCCACUCUUCUGGUUCCUGCUGAAGACUCCAGUAAUAAAAGUUAUUCAUACCUACCUCCACCAUCUUGGCUGGGAAGUCAAGGAUACAGGAAGAAGAUAGCAGCCCGCAACCCGGAAGAGGGCCCUCACCAGAACCUACCAUGCUGGCACCCAGACCUCAGACUUCCAGCCUCCAGAAAUGAGCUCCCUCUGCUGCAGGAACUCAACGAUAGGGAGGAAGAGUCCAGAAAAGUAGGGCUGUCAGCACCUCUGUGAGCAGCCGACGAUCCACAGCGGAUGGAGUUUGGUGGUAAAGGUACUCACUUCCUGUCUCUCUGGUGAUGAUUUUGAGCAUGUUCUACAAAGUCUUUCAGAUGGUCCCAGUAGGUUGGAGCCCAGCUGCCCUCAGUGGUAACCUGCCCAUUAACGUAUCCUGUGUUGGUUUCCUUUCCUCCCCUACCUCACCUCCCCACUCCCCUUUCUAUGAUUCCUAGAGUCACCUCCCAAAUAAACUUUCACAUUUACA
rnacentral:lncRNA from 1 species